CGAUGUUCCUUUCCUCUUCCCUUCGUUCCUUUUCUCUUCGCGACAAGGAAGAGCUCUCCUUCCCUCUCUGUAGCAAGGAAGGAGGCUCUUCUUCCCUCUCCAUAGCAAGCAAGGAGACUCUUCUUCCUUCUCUGCAACAAGAAAGGAGGAGCUCUUCUUCCCUCUUUGCAGCAAGCAAGGAGGAGCUCAAAGAGGUGCCUUGCUAGAUGGUUAGUGGAGAAAGGUAGGCAGCACGGAUCCGUUGUUUAUACUUGAAAGCAAUACUCAGGCACAAUACUUAUCCAAGAUGCUAUUGGUGAGAAGGUUGGCAAAUUCAUUUAGUCAUCUUCAACCUUGUUUGGUAGCUUUAUUGUUGCAUUGACGAAAGGUUGGCUCCUAUCACUCGUUCUAAUGUCAAGCAUACCUCUUAUUGUUGCUGCUGGAGCUGCCAUGUCAUUAGUUAUUUUCAAAUCCUCAAACAGUGGGCAGAAGGUGUAUGCCCAAGCUGGUACUAUGGUUGAACACAUAGUUGGAUCUAUUAGAACAGUAUGUUUAAAUUCUAUACAGUUGUUUGUAUUUGGUGCAGUGUUAUUUAUAGCUCUAAAUUCUAGUCUACCUUCUCUCUUUUAUUUACCAUAUAAAUUAUCAGGUUGUGUCUAUUAAUGGUGAGAAUCAAGCAAUGAUAGUUAUAAGAAACUCACACAUAAAUCAUAUAAAGCUGUUGUUGGUGAAGGGACUGCUUCUGGUUUUAGAAUGGGUGUCGUUAUAUUUAUUCUUUUCUGUUCCUAUGGUCUGGCUGUAUGGUAUGAUGCCAAGCUUAUCAUAGAAAAAUGUUACGAUGGAAGAACUAUUUUCAAUGUUAUGAUAGCUAUCACUACAGGUGGAAUGUAAGUCCUCAAACAAAUCUCAUAGCAUUUUAGCUACUUUCUCUCUUUUAUUUACCAUAUCAAUUAUCAGGUUGUGUCUUUUCAUGGCAAGAAUCAAGCAAUGAUAGUUACAAGAAACUCACAAAUAAAUCAUAUAAAGCUGCUGUUGGUGAAGGGACUGCUUCUAGCUUUACAAUGGGUGUCAUUAUAUUUAUUCUUUUCUGUUCUUAUGAUCGGGCUAUAUGGUAUGAUGCCAAGCUUAUCAUAGAAAAAGGUUACGAUGGAAGAACUAUUUUCAAUGUUAUGAUAGCUGUCACUACAUGUGGAAUGUCUCUUGGCCAAGCAUCACCAUGCCUGUCCUCCUUUGCAUCGGACCAAGCUGCAGCAUACCAAAUGUUCGAGACAAUCAACCAAAUACCGAGUAUUGAUGUUUAUGACACUAGCGACAUUUUGUUGGAAGAAAUCAAGGGUGAUGUUGAACUCAGAGAUGUUCACUUCAGCUAUCCAUCGAGGUUUGAACAACUGAUAUUUGAUGGCUUCUCCAUGUGUAUUUCAAGUGGUACGACUAUGGCUUUAGUAGGAGUGGCAGUGGAAAAUCUACUGUGAUCAGAUCAGUGGAGAGAUUUUAUUGUAAUGACCACCCUUCUUAUAACUCUACUACUCUCUAAGGUGACCGUUACUUAACUAUUAA